rnacentral:rRNA from 1 species
UGGGUAACCUGCCCCGAUAACCGGGACAACCCGAGGAAACUCGGGCUAAUACCGGAUGUGCUCGCCGGACAUCAGUCCGGCGCGUAAAGGAAGCUUCGGCCUCCGUAUCGGGAGGGGCCCGCGGCCCAUUAGCUAGUUGGUGAGGUAACGGCUCACCAAGGCCGCGAUGGGUAGCUGGUCUGAGAGGACGAUCAGCCACACUGGGACUGAGACACGGCCCAGACUCCUACGGGAGGCAG